GACGAACGCUGGCGGCGUGCUUAACACAUGCAAGUCGAACGGAAAGGCCCAGCUUGCUGGGUACUCGAGUGGCGAACGGGUGAGUAACACGUGGGUGAUCUGCCCCUGACUUUGGGAUAAGCCUGGGAAACUGGGUCUAAUACCGGAUAUUACCUUACAUCGCAUGGUGUUUGGUGGAAAGCUUUUGCGGUUGGGGAUGGGCCCGCGGCCUAUCAGCUUGUUGGUGGGGUAAUGGCCUACCAAGGCGACGACGGGUAGCCGACCUGAGAGGGUGAUCGGCCAGACUGGGACUGAGACAUGGCCCAGACUCCAACGGGAGGCAGCAGUGGGGAAUAUUGCACAAUGGGAGCAAGCCUGAUGCAGCGACGCCGCGUGAGGGAUGACGGCCUUCGGGUUGUAAACCUCUUUCACCAGGGACGAAGCGUGAGUGGCGGUACCUGGAGAAGAAGCACCGGCCAACUACGUG
rnacentral:rRNA from 1 species